rnacentral:misc_RNA from 1 species
GAUGAAGAACGUAGCGAAAUGCGAUAAGUAAUGUGAAUUGCAGAAUUCCGUGAAUCAUCGAAUCUUUGAACGCACAUUGCGCCCGCCAGUAUUCUGGCGGGCAUGCCUGUCUGAGCGUCAUUUCAACCCUCAUGCCCCUAGGGCGUGGUGUUGGGGAUCGGCCAAAGCCCGCGAGGGACGGCCGGCCCCUAAAUCUAGUGGCGGACCCGUCGUGGCCUCCUCUGCGAAGUAGUGAUAUUCCGCAUCGGAGAGCGACGAGCCCCUGCCGUUAAACCCCCAACUUUCCAAGGUUGACCUCAGAUCAGGUAGGAAUACCCGCUGAACUUAAGCAUAUCAAUAAGCGGAGGA